UGGUCCCAAUUUGAGGCGUUCUAUACGCGAUAGAGCAGGUCAACACCCAAACCCCUUUCACCUUCCUCGAGCUAUAGUACAGAACAUUCUCCCCGGUAUAGCGGAGGUUAGUUCCUUGACCCACUUUAGGCCUUGGCAGAAGUGAUUUUUUUUUUUUUUUAAUAUAUAUUCUUUUUUUUUGUGUGCUCACCGGGACGGUGACAUUAAAGGCAGGGGUGUAUGUAGCCAAGUCAGUGGGGGGCGCUGUUGUAUUUUGUUCCUAGUGACACCCGUAGAAUAAGAACGGUAAUUUGCCUUUAAAUACGUCACGUCCUGAGUGUAUUACUCAUAUCGUUGGUGGUUUCUUGGUUGCUGGUCGCUGGAAGAACGUGCUGCUUAUUCUGUGCGCAUUGCGUGAAUCGUUUCUGCCUGUGUCGGUGGAUAUUGAUAGACGGGUACAUCACAGUACGGUUACCCAGUUUUCAUCUGACUGUGAGUCGUAAGGGCUGAAUGACGGAUACAACACCCUGUAUCUGUUACCGUAAACACUGAUAUACGCUGCACUCAAUGAAUGAGACGUGUGGGGGAUCCUUUUGAGUUUCCAGGUGCAGUUGACAUGGAAAUGAAGAGUGCUUCUGGUCUGGAUUGAUCACUGUUUCCCAUCCUUUUAUUCUUUUUGAGAUUUGGAUUGUUUUGUUUUUGUCUUUAUUAAUUUCGUUGUGGGCCCAUGAAAUACCAUUACCGCCAAUAGAGGGGGGAAUCAGUCGCUUAAGUCCACGUGUGGGUGUAAGGAAGUGACAUUUGAGUUGUUUUACACUUAAGUGUGAUUUCUCUUUUCUUUGAAGUGAGUUGUACGUUUUAUUUUAUUUUGAGAGUGUCUGUACCCCCUAUAUUGGAUGUUAGUGUAUGUGCUGGUUUUGAACCAGUUCCUACUGAUGUUGAACAUCAAGAGAAUUAAC